rnacentral:rRNA from 1 species
UACGGGGGGGGCAAGCGUUGUUCGGAAUUACUGGGCGUAAAGGGCGCGUAGGCGGCCUACUAAGUCGGACGUGAAAUCCCUCGGCUCAACCGGGGAACGGCGGGGCAUACUGGCGGCCUUGAGCCACUUAAGGGCAGACGGAACAAGCGGUGGAGCGGUGAAAUGCGUAGAUAUCGAGAGGAACACCUGCGGCGAAGGCGGGUUGCUGGGCUGACACUGACGCUGAAGCGCGAAAGCUAGGGGAGCGAACGGG